AGAGUUUGAUCCUGGCUCAGGACGAACGCUAGCGGCGCGCCUAACACAUGCAAGUCGAACGGAGUUAAGAGGAGCUUGCUUUUCUUGACUUAGUGGCGAACGGGUGAGUAACGCGUGAGUAACCUGCCUCAGAGUGGGGGACAACAGUUGGAAACGACUGCUAAUACCGCAUAAGACCACGGGGUCGCAUGGCCCUGAGGUAAAAGGAUUUAUUCGCUUUGAGAUGGACUCGCGUCCAAUUAGCUGGUUGGUGAGGUAACGGCCCACCAAGGCGACGAUUGGUAGCCGGACUGAGAGGUUGAACGGCCACAUUGGGACUGAGACACGGCCCAGACUCCUACGGGAGGCAGCAGUGGGGGAUAUUGCACAAUGGGGGAAACCCUGAUGCAGCGACGCCGCGUGGAGGAAGAAGGUUUUCGGAUUGUAAACUCCUGUCGUAAGGGACGAUAAUGACGGUACCUUACAAGAAAGCCACGGCUAACUACGUGCCAGCAGCCGCGGUAAAACGUAGGUGGCAAGCGUUGUCCGGAAUUACUGGGUGUAAAGGGAGCGCAGGCGGACCGGCAAGUUGGAAGUGAAAACUAUGGGCUCAACCCAUAAACUGCUUUCAAAACUGCUGGCCUUGAGUAGUGCAGAGGUAGGCGGAAUUCCCGGUGUAGCGGUGGAAUGCGUAGAUAUCGGGAGGAACACCAGUGGCGAAGGCGGCCUACUGGGCACCAACUGACGCUGAGGCUCGAAAGUGUGGGUAGCAAACAGGAUUAGAUACCCUGGUAGUCCACACCGUAAACGAUGAUUACUAGGUGUUGGAGGAUUGACCCCUUCAGUGCCGCAGUU
rnacentral:rRNA from 1 species